UGCACAAAAACCAAAAAGAACAGAAGAAAAAAACGAAAGAUGAACCAGCAACCUACCAGCUUGUGCUAAGGUGAAGCUCUGUUGUUAUACUUAUCUUCCCUUCCUUACCUACCUUGUCCUUAAGCAGCCCAGUAGAGUAGCCCUCUCUCUCUCUCUCUCUCUCUCUCUCUCUCUCUCUCUCUCUCUCUCUCUCUCUCUCUCUCUCUCUCUGGGGACAAAAGGAUGUUGAUUAGUUUCAUGAAAUUUAGGCUUUACUUGCGCUAGUUCCUAUAGAUUCUCUUCCAAUGACAAUCAGUUUAUAGAUAAACCAUUCUCUACUUUGUCAUAGUCUCAUGUGGUUGUGGUGUGCAGGCCUUCAUGUGAAGAGGGCUCCUGAGGAGCCACUUGGUCAUGCAGCUGCCAUUAUAACUGAUGUUGUUGAGAAUGCCGAGACCAACCAUGUAAUAAGUGUUGUGCAGAAGCGAGCUCUUCUUCAAGAAAUGGCGCUGAGGCUGACCUAGAAGUUUCCUCUUGCCGCCAUGUUGUAUCUUCCUUUUCUUUCUUUCAGAAAUAUUGACAUGUUGUACACCACCAUAUCACCAUAUGAAUCUUUCUUUUUUGUGGUUUUAAUAGGAUGCUUCUAGUUGGAGCAUGGUUGUAAAUGAACCUUGUUCAACAUCAAUGGAAAGGGAACUUCACACAGUUUUGUCUAGUCCAUAACGGACUAAGACCAACUGCUAUGCA